UUAACAAUGAAGUGUAAAUCAAUCACCACAGUAAGCAGAUUCUGUAGAACAUAAGAUGUAAACUAUAAAUAUGUACUUUUGUUUCCUUAAAGGGUGACACUACAGUAGAGUUUGGUGGAUUUCCAGUUUCACUGAUUGUGUUCGAUGUACGAGGCUAAACCCGUUUGAUUUUAUGCUAACAGGUUAAACCGGCAUUUACACCGGCUCAAGCCUUCACUACAGGCAAAAACAUACAUUUUCAAUUUUUAGUUUUUGGGCUAUUUUGCUUCCUUAACAUGUCGUCUUUUAGACUGGUCAGGGGGAAAUAUCCGAAAUACACAUUUUAGGUUAUUUUACUACACUUUGUCUUUCUGCACCUGUAAAUUUCUCCUAAAUUAACCACAAGUUAGCAUUAGGUCUGGUCUCAUUAGCAUAUUU